UGACCUGCGGAGGGAUCAUUGCUGGAACGCGCCCCAGGCGCACCCAGAAACCCUUUGUGAACUUAUACCUUACUGUUGCCUCGGCGCAUGCUGGCCCCCUCGGGGCCCCCUGGAGACAGGGAGCAGGCACGCCGGCGGCCAAGUUAACUCUUGUUUUUACACUGAAACUCUGAGAAAAAAACACAAAUGAAUCAAAACUUUCAACAACGGAUCUCUUGGUUCUGGCAUCGAUGAAGAACGCAGCGAAAUGCGAUAAGUAAUGUGAAUUGCAGAAUUCAGUGAAUCAUCGAAUCUUUGAACGCACAUUGCGCCCUCUGGUAUUCCGGAGGGCAUGCCUGUUCGAGCGUCAUUUCAACCCUCAAGCAUUGCUUGGUGUUGGGGCACUGCUUUUAACGAAGCAGGCCCUGAAAUCUAGUGGCGAGCUCGCUAGGACCCCGAGCGUAGUAGUUAAACCCUCGCUUUGGAAGGCCCUGGCGGUGCCCUGCCGUUAAACCCCCAACUUCUGAAAAUUUGACCUCGGAUCAGGUAGGAAUACCCGCUGAACUUAAGCAUAUCAA
rnacentral:rRNA from 1 species